UUUGUUUUAGUACGUAGGUUUAUGAAUCGUGCAUGCCACCUACGGACGGUAGGUGAUAUCUUUAGAAGAUUUUAAUU
rfam:Drosophila sechellia strain Rob3c scaffold_1852 genomic scaffold, whole genome shotgun sequence.